rnacentral:rRNA from 1 species
UACGGGGGGGGGCAAGCGUUGUUCGGAAUUACUGGGCGUAAAGGGCUCGUAGGCGGCCAACUAAGUCAGACGUGAAAUCCCUCGGCUUAACCGGGGAAUUGCGUCUGAUACUGGUUGGCUUGAAUCCGGGAGAGGGAUGUGGAAUUCCAGGUGUAGCGGUGAAAUGCGUAGAUAUCUGGAGGAACACCGGUGGCGAAGGCGGCAUCCUGGACCGGUAUUGACGCUGAGGAGCGAAAGCGUGGGGAGCGAACAGG